AUUGAACGCUGGCGGCAUGCCUUACACAUGCAAGUCGAACGGCAGCGGGGGAGAAGCUUGCUUUUCCUGCCGGCGAGUGGCGAACGGGUGAGUAAUACAUCGGAACGUGCCCUGUAGUGGGGGAUAACUAGUCGAAAGAUUAGCUAAUACCGCAUACGACCUGAGGGUGAAAGUGGGGGACCGCAAGGCCUCAUGCUAUAGGAGCGGCCGAUGUCUGAUUAGCUAGUUGGUGGGGUAAAGGCCUACCAAGGCGACGAUCAGUAGCUGGUCUGAGAGGACGAUCAGCCACACUGGGACUGAGACACGGCCCAGACUCCUACGGGAGGCAGCAGUGGGGAAUUUUGGACAAUGGGCGAAAGCCUGAUCCAGCAAUGCCGCGUGUGUGAAGAAGGCCUUCGGGUUGUAAAGCACUUUUGUCCGGAAAGAAAUGGCUCUGGUUAAUACCUGGGGUCGAUGACGGUACCGGAAGAAUAAGGACCGGCUAACUACGUGCCAGCAGCCGCCGCCG
rnacentral:rRNA from 1 species